GACGAACGCUGGCGGCGUGCUUAACACAUGCAAGUCGAACGGAAAGGCCCUGCUUUUGUGGGGUGCUCGAGUGGCGAACGGGUGAGUAACACGUGAGUAACCUGCCCUUGACUUUGGGAUAACUUCAGGAAACUGGGGCUAAUACCGGAUAGGAGCUCCUGCUGCAUGGUGGGGGUUGGAAAGUUUCGGCGGUUGGGGAUGGACUCGCGGCUUAUCAGCUUGUUGGUGGGGUAGUGGCUUACCAAGGCUUUGACGGGUAGCCGGCCUGAGAGGGUGACCGGCCACAUUGGGACUGAGAUACGGCCCAGACUCCUACGGGAGGCAGCAGUGGGGAGUAUUGCACAAUGGGCGGAAGCCUGAUACAGCAACGCCGCGUGCGGGAUGACGGCCUUCGGGUUGUAAACCGCUUUCGCCUGUGACGAAGCGUGAGUGACGGUAAUGGGUAAAGAAGCACCGGCUAGCUACGUG
rnacentral:rRNA from 1 species